GACGAACGCUGGCGGCGUGCCUAAUACAUGCAAGUAGAACGCUGAAGAGAGGAGCUUGCUCUUCUUGGAUGAGUUGCGAACGGGUGAGUAACGCGUAGGUAACCUGCCUUGUAGCGGGGGAUAACUAUUGGAAACGAUAGCUAAUACCGCAUAACAAUGGAUGACACAUGUCAUUUAUUUGAAAGGGGCAAUUGCUCCACUACAAGAUGGACCUGCGUUGUAUUAGCUAGUAGGUGAGGUAACGGCUCACCUAGGCGACGAUACAUAGCCGACCUGAGAGGGUGAUCGGCCACACUGGGACUGAGACACGGCCCAGACUCCUACGGGAGGCAGCAGUAGGGAAUCUUCGGCAAUGGGGGCAACCCUGACCGAGCAACGCCGCGUGAGUGAAGAAGGUUUUCGGAUCGUAAAGCUCUGUUGUAAGUCAAGAACGAGUGUGAGAGUGGAAAGUUCACACUGUGACGGUAGCUUACCAGAAAGGGACGGCUAACUACGUGCCAGCAGCCGCGGUAAUACGUAGGUCCCGAGCGUUGUCCGGAUUUAUUGGGCGUAGAGCGAGCGCAGGCGGUUUGAUAAGUCUGAAGUUAAAGGCUGUGGCUCAACCAUAGUUCGCUUUGGAAACUGUCAAACUUGAGUGCAGAAGGGGAGAGUGGAAUUCCAUGUGUAGCGGUGAAAUGCGUAGAUAUAUGGAGGAACACCGGUGGCGAAAGCGGCUCUCUGGUCUGUAACUGACGCUGAGGCUCGAAAGCGUGGGGAGCGAACAGGAUUAGAUACCCUGGUAGUCCACGCCGUAAACGAUGAGUGCUAGGUGUUGGAUCCUUUCCGGGAUUCAGUGCCGCAGCUAACGCAUUAAGCACUCCGCCUGGGGAGUACGACCGCAAGGUUGAAACUCAAAGGAAUUGACGGGGGCCCGCACAAGCGGUGGAGCAUGUGGUUUAAUUCGAAGCAACGCGAAGAACCUUACCAGGUCUUGACAUCCCGAUGCUAUUUCUAGAGAUAGAAAGUUACUUCGGUACAUCGGUGACAGGUGGUGCAUGGUUGUCGUCAGCUCGUGUCGUGAGAUGUUGGGUUAAGUCCCGCAACGAGCGCAACCCCUAUUGUUAGUUGCCAUCAUUCGGUUGGGCACUCUAGCGAGACUGCCGGUAAUAAACCGGAGGAAGGUGGGGAUGACGUCAAAUCAUCAUGCCCCUUAUGACCCGGGCUACACACGUGCUACAAUGGUUGGUACAACGAGUUGCGAGUCGGUGACGGCAAGCUAAUCUCUUAAAGCCAAUCUCAGUUCGGAUUGUAGGCUGCAACUCGCCUACAUGAAGUCGGAAUCGCUAGUAAUCGCGGAUCAGCACGCCGCGGUGAAUACGUUCCCGGGCCU
rnacentral:rRNA from 1 species